ensembl:lncRNA
GUCUAAGGUCUGACGGUAGCAGUUCACGGUUUUAAACGUUUCAGUGAGAGUAGAGAAACUGCGGACAGUCCCUUACUGUAGCAUUAGGAGCGAGUCUUGAGCUCCGUGGAUUCACUCUCUGCCUGUGGAGUGAAGAGGCUGUAGUACGCGUUUACACUCUUGUUUACUGACGGCGAUGAAAUUUCAGUUUUAAUCUUUGGAAAUAAAUCGUCCAGGAUGACGGUGGAUUUUGAAGACUGUAUCAAAGAUUCACCCCGCUUUCGGAGCACAUUCGUGAAUCACGUCGCUCCGUCUGGGUCUGUUUCUGGGAUGUUGCUGAAUCACAUCUGGAGCUCUUUCAGGCAUCUGGUUCUAUUCGGGACAAACCCACUCACUUUCUCAGCACGCUCGGGGUCUUUCCCUCUGCGCUGCUCCGUCCUGUCCCUGUGCAGCACAGGAAGCGAAUGUGGAUGAUGGUGGCCUACUGGAAUAUUAACGAAGGUUCAGCAAAGUCAGCAGGGUGCACGCGCGUGUGUGUGCGUGUGUGUGUGUGUGUGUGUGUGUGUGCUUUAUUCACAGCACCCAAAGCUCCAUUCAAACUGAGUGAGCCAGGUUUUUCAAAAGCAGUACAAUAGCACAUUGUAACAUACAGUUGUUGUGUACAACAUUCUUUGCAGUUGAAUAAUAACAAUAACCACAGUAGUGCACAACGUUGAGUGUCCUCUUGCUUUAUUAAAAUGAGGAAUAUGAUGCAAAACAACAAUGUUCAACUGUUGCAAAUAGUUUAAUAUGUAAAUGUACGAAUAAUAAUAGUCACCAAAUUUAUUUAUUAUUUUUUGCAUUUUUUUCCCCACUAAUCGAUAAUCACAAGACUGCCUAAAAAUUGUAAGACUAUGGGUUGGUAAAUAUCCUAAAUGUUGUUUAUCAGGUGAAGAUAAUAACAAUUUUAGGCAUUAAACAGAUUUUUGAUCUUUAUUUAAUAAACACCAUAAUAAACACCUUAACUUACAUUUUUAAUCUUUUAACUUGUUGUUCAGUGAGUGCAUUGAUGUGUCUGUUUGUUUUCACAUCAAAAAUUGGAGAAAAUCCAUGUUCAAAUGUUUUUUUUUUUUUUUUUUUUUUUUUUUUUUUUGCUGUUUGAUUUUUAGUUUGCAUAUUACAUUGAUUUUUGAAAUGGGUCAUCACGUCAAGAUUUGGCAUAGUAACUAUGUUUUAUAACAGUCUUUGCUUUAAUACUCUGCUGUUUAAAUGUUUUGUGCAAGUAAUUUUUUUUUUUUUUUUUUUUUAGAGAAGCUUCCUAUGUUUUGUAACAUAAAUGUCUUUACUGUCACUUUUUAUCACUGUAAAGCAUCCUUGCAGUAUAAAAGGAUUAAUUUAAAAAAAAAAACUUACUGACUUUAUACUUUUAAACUGUUGUUAGACAAAAAAAAAAAACGAUAUAAUCAAUUCCUGCAUUACAAGCUCAGUUAAUGCUCAUUAGUGUGCUCCGUGUAAUUGUUGAAUGCUUUCCCUUCAUUUGUGGCAUUGCGUCAAUGUUACAUUGAGGACUUUUGAGUCUCAGGAGAGUCUGUGGUUUGUGUUUAGGCUCAAUGAGGCUUGAGGGAACUUCCUCUUCCCGCUGCAGGCCUAUUUGCACACUGAUGCAAGCUCGAUUCCCAAAAGACCUGCUGCCACUUCCAAGAGCGCUAAAUAUACUGUACACCGACCACAUCCAUCAGUGUGGAACAGCUGAGCUGACAUUUCUUCAAAACCUCCGGGCUUGACACAUUUCUUGUACUUGCAAUCAAUGACUUAGACUGUAAUAUAAGUAGUUCAUUUACUCACAAAAAAUUGUAAUGUUCAAACUUUUAAUCAAAUACUUCCAUGAAAUUUGAAUGGAGAAAAUGAAAAAGAGUUGGCGUCCACCGUUGCUUGUAUAUGCUGUGAUGAAUAUCAGUGUGUAUAGGAUGGACUGCGCUAGCUUCCUGUCAUGUGACUGGCGUACGCUGGUUUACAUCACAUUUGGAAAGUUUUUCAACAUUCUGGUCAGGGUGACAGCAUGGUGACGUCUGGAGCUUAUUAUUGAACCCAAUUUUCAGGAAGCACCUGGAGGAAGGAGAGAUGAGCAUAACCUGUGACCUGUGGCCUCCCUCUGGUUUUGUUCAGUUCAUGGUGUUAUUAUUUGCUCUUCCUAGAAGUUCUGCGGAAGCUAUAGAGCCUCAGUCCGUCCACUGAGUCAGUCUUGGGAUGCACAAUGUGUGUGUGUGUGCAUUUAUUUAAAAAAUUUUUUACACAUGGUAUAGAAUUUUAAUAUCAGACAUUUAUCAGUUGUCAAGAAUAAAAAAAAAAGAUUAUCACCUUUACAAGCAUUUAAAAAAAAAAACAGUUUUAUUUUAAUUUUAGACAUUUUAAUUUGUUUUAUCAGCGAUAACAGAAUGUCUUCUUGUCCGCUAUUUGUAAUUUUGUAGAAUGAUUUUGCAGCAAAAUAGAUCUUCAGCAAAUCUCAAAAUGAAUGUCCUUUUUAAUACUGUGC